rnacentral:lncRNA from 1 species
CUGUCUGGUCAAUGAAAAUAACUUCUGUCCCUUAGCAUUCUAGUAAGAAAUGCAACAACAAACGAUGCUGUCCUUUGUCCAAUAACAUAAGCUAUGCCUUCUAAGACUCUGGAAAGCAUCACAAUGGUACAUUUCAGUAUGGCUCCAAUUAUAAUGAACAAUGAAAGCAGGUCUGGUGACUAGUGCAAGAAAAUCAGAAAGACCAGAUUCUUUCACAAUAAAAAGACCUGUCAAGCACCAAGUAAAUAUAAAAAUCUUAAAGAGCAAAAGACAAGCUGUAAGAAUAGGGUAAAAGUUCACAAACAGACAAAAGUACAUGAAAAUGCCCUGUUUUUAGGCCAAUUACAUGACUCAAGCAUACUAGAAUGCAAACUUGCACCAAUUCCUUGUACUUUUAAUAAAUUGGAUGGAGGUAAGAAAAGAGUUCUUGGUGAGAGAAAUGCUGCAUUAUCACUUUUCUGCACAACAUACCUCCUGAGCUCUUCUUUUUCUUCAACAACGAUGGGAAACACCAUGAAGCUGAUGUUUGAGCACUAUCAAUGCUUUUUUGUUCACCGUCUCUGCCUGCUAGUUCAUUGUCGUCAAUUUCUUCUUCU